CUCCCGCCGGCGACCGGCGCACGGGUGAGUAACACGUAUGAAACCUGCCCGUAGCAGGGGGAUAAGCGGAAGAAAUUCCGUCUAAUACCGCGUAACAACCCGAGGAGGCAUCUCUGUGGGUUUAAAGGAAGCGAUUCCGGCUACGGAUGGUCAUGCGUCGCAUUAGCUUGUUGGCGGGGUAACGGCCCACCAAGGCGACGAUGCGUAGGGGUUCUGAGAGGAAGGUCCCCCACACUGGUACUGAGACACGGACCAGACUCCUACGGAAGGCAGCAG
rnacentral:rRNA from 1 species